GUUCUGCACAGGGCAUUAAAAAAUCCACUAGUCCAUGUGAUCAAAAUCUACAGAGCUCAAUUCUGAAGUGUGAACUCGUGUCAGCAGGCAAAUCUGUUUCCAGUAUAAGCUUACAGCUUAUACAGACAAUUGCUUUUGUAUCCAUUCAUCUAUUAAGCAGAACUGUAAAAGCAUUUGUUGAAAUGGUUUGAUAGAAGUGUAUUAGAUUGUCUUAGAUUGUUGGCCUGCGAGAGUCUGAACGUAAAUUACAACUGCAGACUGAAGAACAGGAGAUGAAGGUCAUAGACCAGGAAAAUAUAAUACGUGAAUUGGAAUCUGCACUUGAGCACAUCAAGUUGCAGUGUGACAGGCAGCUGACGCUACAACACAGAGAACAUGAGAAAAAACUACAGUUGAUACUGCAUCAUUUCAAGGAACAAGAUGGUGAAGGUAUUGCAGAAACCUUGAAAGAGUAUGAAGUAAAGUCCAGCAACUGGAAAAAGACUUCUUUUAUUCUAGAGAAAACCAGCAGAGAGCUGAAGAAGAAAUUGAAGAGCUUUUUUGGAGAGUCACCCCAUCAACUAAUGGCACCUACUAAAUAAACCGGGUGUUUAAGAAGGAAAUGCAGAGUUGCCUUUGUUUGGCACUCGAUGGUCUUGAGGUCUCUUCCAACGUAGACAUUCUGUGAUUCUGUGAAGUCACAAACGCCAAGGCAUCACACUGGCUGGCUCUGCAGCACAGAUGCCAGGAGUGCCGCUUGGCAUGGCGGCGGCGGCGCGGUGCCCCAGCCCCAGGCCCGUCCCAGCCCCAGCGCACGUCGCCCUCCGCUCCCCCAUGGAGCCCCCCGCCGCCUCAGCAGCCCCGCGGCGGACGCCCCAUGGCAGAGCCGCCCCCGAGGAGAAGGAGCCCGCAGCCCUCUGCCCGCACCGCACCGCACUGCACCAAGCGCCGCGCAACGGCUGCCACCACCGCGGGGGCUCCUGGUGUGAGCGGCAAGCGGUGGCAAGGGGGGGCUGCGCUUCCUGAGUCGAGCUGCUGGACACCGGCUUGCCUGGGCAAUUGCCCAUGUUGCUGAGGAGGCAACAGAGCCAAAGCCCUUGGGGCUGAAGAUCCAGCACAGCUGGGGAGGCUUUGGCAUUUCUGCACAAUGCUGCUCAAUCCUGCUUGGGAGCCCAGCCUCAGGUGCGGAAUGAAGCCAAGCAAGCUCGAGGGAAACUGUGUGCUGAAUCCCAGACUGCGUAUUAGAGCUGAUCUUCAUCUCUGCUCGGAAAAGCUUCAUGGGCCAAAAGAGAAUGGAGAUGAGGAAGGCAAUGGAGAAUGAUGAGGACUAUUUGCAGUCAGCACCCCAACUUCUGCCUUGGCUCUUCCCAUCAAGCCAGAGCAGUUUCUUGGCCUGCGCAACCUGCAGACUGACCUCUCGUGUGUAUCCGUGCUGGACUGAGGGUAAUGUUUGGAACACACACUGAUGCUGUAUUCACUAGAACUUUGAGAAGAGAGCGCAAGAAGCUAACCUGCAUACGAGUUUCUUAGGUUUCUGUAGAGAGAGAGAGAUGUACAUGCAUACAUAUUUACUUCUGUCUUUACUUCUUUCAAGAUAUCUUUUGUUCUCCAAAAUGAAUCCUCUGACUGUUACUAACGUAUGGGACACACCUUGACACUCUAAUGGCAUAGAAAUACUUUUCAGCUCAUCCUUGCUAUUGUUUCUGGAUUGAAAAAAUAAUUGUGAAUAUGAUUACCUGCUUGGAAUCUUUUUUUUUUUUUUUUUUUUUUUUUUUAGUAUAUAUCUAUUCUAUUAUGAAAUCCUAUAAAAAGGAGUGAACUCAAGAGGAAAAAAAAAAAAAGAAAACAAUUUUAUAUCCACUUCUAAAUUAGCUCAACAAAUGAAACAGUAAAAAAUGCACAUAAUA